ensembl:lncRNA
UGAGACAGGGAGCAGCAGACACUCAGAGAGCUGCAGGGUUUAAACUCACUGGAUCCAGUAUAACUCUCUUCACCAGUAUCACCAGUAUCACCAGUAUCACCAGUAUGGGUUAUUCCAGUAUUCUGAUUGGUCUGCUGAUCGCCAUGGCACAUGGCCAGACUACAACAGAAAAUCCAUCUGAAACUGUAGAAACUACACAAAUGCAGGAAAUCAUUGCAGAAACACCGGAGAUGAUCACAAACAGCACCACCAAUCAACUAACUAAAGAAAUCACUGCAGAAACUACAGAGGAAACUACAGCCAACGAGACGCCAACCUCCCAGACCACAACUACAACUACAGUGUAUGAAGACGUGAUGCCCACCACCCAGACCACAACUACAACUACAGAUACAGAAACAGAAACAACUCCAGAAACAACUACAACUACAGAUACAGAUUCAACUACAACUCCAGAAACAACUACAGAAACAACUCCAGAAACAACUCCAGAAACAACUACAACUACAGAUACAGAUUCAACUACAGAAACAACUACAGAUACAGAUUCAACUACAACUCCAGAUUCAACUACAGAAACAACUACAGAAACAACUACAGCUAAAGAUACAGAUACAACUACAGCUUAUGAAACCUCUACAACUGAAAUCUUGUUUACAGAGGGUCCUGUCACUACUGCAUCAACUACAACAUAUGAAAACACCACGCCGCCGUUCUUCACCACAGAACACGGUGGCACUACUGCAUCAACUGGAAAUGUUGAAACCACUACACCCCAGUUCUUCAUCACAGAGAGCACUACUGCUGCUGCAUCAACUACAACCUACAAAAACUCCACACCCCAGUUUACCUCCACAGAGAGCACUACUGCUGCAUCAACUAGACAACACUCUACACCCCAGUUCUUCACCACAAAGCACACUACUGGCACUAGUGCGCCACCUACAGUGUAUAAAACCUCUGCAGCCCAGCCUCCUACAACCAGACGCUACGAUGGAACCAGUCCUCCAUCUACAGUGAAGAAUCUGAAUUUUCACACAAUAACAAGCAACCUGGAGGUGGAGCUUCUGGCCCCGGAAGAUUCGACGGAAGAGGAACGUCAGCGUGCACUAUAUGAAGCUGCUUGUCGACUGAACAACUACCUGACAAAAACAUACGAUGACAUCGACUCUGUAGAAAUAAUAAGCAUCACCCCAGAUGAAGGGUACUGGUGCCUGGAGUCUCACAGGAAGUGAUUAAUCAGUGGAGAAGAUCAAAUCUCAUGUUUUAUUUAGAAACCGUGUUAAACAGUAGUUCUGUCUAUAAAAUGGCAUUUAUUAAUAUUUCUGACCAGUGAUUUAUUAACCAGAGCUAAUCUGUAUGAGUUUGGGAUGGAAUCACAUAAAUAUCUGUGUUCAAAUAUCUAUAGAUAUGCAGGAUCUUCUGAUUCUGGAGAGAAUUUACUUGGAAUUGUUGAGUAUUUCUCAGAGGAUUUGAUUGCAUUUAUUGAAAAGAGCACAGCUUACAUCAACUCAAAACUUUCAGGAUUAUUAUAGAAUGCAGAACUUCCUUUACUCAGUAAACUCAGUAUCUCAUAAUAGCUAUUUCAUAUCUUACACACUUAUCAAUUAUUGUACAUUAUCAAUAUGUAUAUAAAUAUCCAUAACUCGUACCCAACUCCCUAACUCACCCCCAACUCCCUAACUCAUCCCAACUUCUCAACUCUUCCACAACUCCAUAACUCACACUCAUAGUUCCUAUAGUUGCUAUAUAAGCUGUGUUUGUGAAUUUAUAGUGUGUUUAUGUGUAAAUAUAAAGGUAUAUUGUUGUUGUUUUUGUUUACAUGUUUACAUAUAUAAAAUAUUGUUCUUGAUUGGAGAUGAUGUAUAAUCAUAUGCACUAGAUUUUUAUAAAUAUGCAAAUGAAAUGAUUGUGUUGAGGCGAGUAAAGACAGGUUAAUUAGUGUCAGUCUCAUUAACACAUUAGUGCUGUGGUCACUUUGAUGAAAUACAGUUUUAUUAGAUUUAAUGCUUAAUAGAAUAAUGAUCUUUUUAUAUGAUGCACUGUCACUUUUCUGUGAUGCACAGGGAUAUUUGUGCACUGCAGUAUCACACUGUUUUAAUGCAUUGUAACUCUAC